AAUCUUCUCCUCUGAAACUACUAGGCCAAAUUAAUCCAAACUUGGCCACAAUCAUCUUUGGGGUAUCUAGUUUAAAAAAUGUGUCCUGUGACCCGGCCAUCCAACCAAGAUGGCCGCCAUGGCUAAAAAUAGAACAUAGGGGUAAAAUGCAGUUUUUGGCUUAUAACUCAAAAACCAAAGCAUUUAGAGCAAAUCUGACAUGGGUAAAAUUGUUUAUCAGGUCAAAACCUAUCUGCCCUGAAAUUUUCAGAUGAAUCCGACAACCUGUUGUUGGGUUGCUGCCCCUAAAUUGGUAAUUUUAAGGAAAUUUUACUGUUUUUGGUUAUUAUCUUGAAUAUUAUUAUAGAUAGAGAUAAACUUUAAACAGCAAUAAUGUACAGCAAAGUAAGAUUUACAAAUAAGUCAACAUGACUGAAAUGGUCAAUUGACCCCCUAAGGAGUUAUUGUCCUUUAUAGUCAAUUUUUAACAAUUUUUAUAAAAUUUGUAAAUUUUUACUAACAUUUUCCACUGAAACUACUGGGCCAAGUUCAUUAUAGAUAGAGAGAACUGUAAGCAGCAAGAAUGUUCAGUAAAGUAAGACGUACAAACACAUCACCAUCACCAAAAC
rnacentral:lncRNA from 1 species